ACCUGGAUGGCUCAGUAGGUUGAGCAUCUGACUUCCAUUCAGGGCAUGAUCUCAAGGUU
rnacentral:tRNA from 1 species